rnacentral:rRNA from 1 species
GUGUCAGCAGCCGCGGUAAGACAGAGGGUGCAAACGUUGUUCGGAAUUACUGGGCGUAAAGCGCGUGUAGGCUGCUCGCUAAGUCGGAUGUGAAAGCCCUGGGCUCAACCUGGGAAGUGCAUACGAAACUGGCGAGCUGGAGUCCUGGAGAGGAAGGCGGAAUUCUCGGUGUAGAGGUGAAAUUCGUAGAUAUCGAGAGGAACACCGGUGGCGAAGGCGGCCUUCUGGACAGCGACUGACGCUAAGACGCGAAAGCGUGGGGAGCAAACAGGAUUAGAAACCCCGGUAGUCC